rnacentral:rRNA from 1 species
GACGUAGGGCGCGAGCGUUGUCCGGAUUUAUUGGGCGUAAAGAGCUCGUAGGCGGCUCGUUGCGUCGGCUGUGAAAACCCACAGCUUAACUGUGGGCCUGCAGCCGAUACGGGCGAGCUAGAGUUCGGUAGGGGAGACUGGAAUUCCUGGCGUAGCGGUGAAAUGCGCAGAUAUCAGGAGGAACACCCGUGGCGAAGGCGGUUCUCUGGGACGGUACUGACGCUGAGGAGCGAAAGCGUGGGUAGCAAACAGG